AAAAGUUGAUCGUGUUUAUGACGUCGAAUAUCGACGUCAUAAACACCAAAGUUGAUCGUGUUUAUGACGUCGAAUAUCGACGUCAUAAACACCAAAG
rnacentral:miRNA from 1 species